rnacentral:ribozyme from 10 species
UCUUUAGUCGAAUUGGUGUGAUUUCUCCAGUAACAGGAUGGUAUAUAGUGUUCACAGCUAAGAAGUUAAAGAAUUGAAAAGGAUUUCCAAGGUCAGAACUGUCUGUA